rnacentral:rRNA from 1 species
GAUUAAGUUAUUAAGGGCGCACGGUGGAUGCCUUGGCACUAGAAGCCGAUGAAGGACGUUACUAACGACGAUAUGCUUUGGGGAGCUGUAAGUAAGCUUUGAUCCAGAGAUUUCCGAAUGGGGAAACCCAGCAUGAGUUAUGUCAUGUUAUCGAUAUGUGAAUACAUAGCAUAUCAGAAGGCACACCCGGAGAACUGAAACAUCUUAGUACCCGGAGGAAGAGAAAGAAAAUUCGAUUCCCUUAGUAGCGGCGAGCGAAACGGGAAGAGCCCAAACCAACAAGCUUGCUUGUUGGGGUUGUAGGACACUCUAUACGGAGUUACAAAGGACGACAUUAGACGAAUCAUCUGGAAAGAUGAAUCAAAGAAGGUAAUAAUCCUGUAGUCGAAAAUGUUGUCUCUCUUGAGUGGAUCCUGAGUACGACGGAGCACGUGAAAUUCCGUCGGAAUCUGGGAGGACCAUCUCCUAAGGCUAAAUACUCUCUAGUGACCGAUAGUGAACCAGUACCGUGAGGGAAAGGUGAAAAGCACCCCGGAAGGGGAGUGAAAUAGAACCUGAAACCGUGUGCUUACAAGUAGUCAGAGCCCGUUAAUGGGUGAUGGCGUGCCUUUUGUAGAAUGAACCGGCGAGUUACGAUUUGAUGCAAGGUUAAGCAGUAA